UUUAUGGAGAGUUUGAUCCUGGCUCAGGAUGAACGCUGGCGGCGUGCCUAAUACAUGCAAGUCGAGCGAACAGACGAGGAGCUUGCUCCUCUAACGUUAGCGGCGGACGGGUGAGUAACACGUGGAUAACCUACCUAUAAGACUGGGAUAACUUCGGGAAACCGGAGCUAAUACCGGAUAAUAUAUUGAACCGCAUGGUUCAAUAGUGAAAGAC
rnacentral:rRNA from 1 species